rnacentral:rRNA from 1 species
AUUGAACGCUGGCGGCAGGCCUAACACAUGCAAGUCGAGCGAGCGGCGGACGGGUGAGUAAUGUCUGGGAAACUGCCUGAUGGAGGGGGAUAACUACUGGAAACGGUAGCUAAUACCGCAUACCAUCAGAUGUGCCCAGAUGGGAUUCGCUAGUAGGUGGGGUAACGGCUCACCUAGGCGACGAUCCCUAGCUGGUCUGAGAGGAUGACCAUCAAACCUUGACCUGAGACACGUGCCAGACUCCUACGUGAGGCAGCAGUGGGGAAUAUUGCACAAUGGGCGCAAGCCUGAUGCAGCCAUGCCGCGUGUGUGAAGAAGGCCUUCGGGGUGUAAAGCACUUUCAGCGGGGAGGCGUUACCCGCAGAAGAAGCACCGGGUAACUCCGUGCCAGCAGCCGCGGUAAUU